rnacentral:lncRNA from 1 species
AUUGACUGAGAAGGGUAUUCUGCCCUAUUGGUCUUCGGGAUUAUGGUCGAAGCAGAGUAGAUGAAGACCCAACAGCCAUUUUCCUGAUCGAUUGACUGAGAAGGGUAUUCUGCCCUAUUGGUCUUCGGGAUUAUGGUCGAAGCAGAGUAGAUGAAGACCCAACAACCAUUUUCCUGAUUGAUUUGACUGAGAAGGGUAUUCUGCCCUAUUGGUCUUCGGGAUUAUGGUCGAAGCAGAGUAGAUGAAGACCCAAUAGCCAUUUUCCUGAUUGAUUUACUGAGAAUGGUAUUCCGCCCUAUUGGUCUUCGGGAUUAUGGUCGAAGCAGAGUAGAUGAAGACCCAAUAGCCAUUUUCCUGAUUGAUUUACUGAGAAGGGUAUUCCGCCCUAUUGGUCUUUGGGAUUAUGGUCGCAGCAAACGAAGGCUCACCACAGUGACAGAAAGUUUCACCGAAGUAGAUCCAGAAAUCACACUCCCGAGAGUCCAUUAAGGGCACACCGCUCUGUGGGCACUUGUCUUCGGGGAAAUCCAUCUAAGGUUGCAGCACUAGAUGGAAAGCAGCUGAGGAGUCCGACAAAGCCGUUGCAGUUCUUCAGCAGAAGCAGAGUUCGUGGAUAUUGCAUGCAGAUGGAUAUUCUAUUUCGGACAUCAGUAUAGCAGGUUAUCAAGGAGUCGAUCACAAUAACAAUUCCACCGCCA